rnacentral:rRNA from 2 species
UGCAGUCGACGAACUUCUUUAUCACCGAGUGCUUGCACUCACCGAUAAAGAGUUGAGUGGCGAACGGGUGAGUAACACGUGGGCAACCUGCCCAAAAGAGGGGGAUAACACUUGGAAACAGGUGCUAAUACCGCAUAACCAUAGUUACCGCAUGGUAACUAUGUAAAAGGUGGCUAUGCUACCGCUUUUGGAUGGGCCCGCGGCGCAUUAGCUAGUUGGRGGGGUAAAGGSUUACCAAGGCAAUGAUGCGUAGCCGAACUGAGAGGUUGAUCGGCCACAUUGGGACUGARACMCGGCCCAAACUCCUACGGGAGGCAGCAGUAGGGAAUCUUCCACAAUGGGCGAAAGCCUGAUGGAGCAACGCCGCGUGGGUGAAGAAGGUCUUCGGAUCGUAAAACCCUGKUGUUAGAGAAGAAAGUGCGUGAGAGUAACUGUUCACGUUUCGACGGUAUCUAACCARAAAGCCACGGNNUAACUACGUGCCAGCAGCCGCGGUAAUACGUAGGUGGCAAGCGUUAUCCGGAUUUAUUGGGCGUAAAGGGAACGCAGGCGGUCUUUUAAGUCUGAUGUGAAAGCCUUCGGCUUAACCGGAGUAGUG